rnacentral:rRNA from 1 species
CUACGGAGGGUGCAAGCGUUACUCGGAAUCACUGGGCGUAAAGCGCGCGCAGGCGGUCUUUUAAGUUGGAUGUGAAAGCCUACGGCUCAACCGUAGAACUGCAUCCAAAACUAUUUAGCUAGAGUGUGGGAGAGGAAGAUGGAAUUAGUUGUGUAGGGGUAAAAUCCGUAGAGAUAGCUAGGAAUACCAAAAGCGAAGGCAAUCUUCUGGAACACUACUGACGCUGAGGCGCGAAAGCGUGGGGAGCGAACAGGAUUAGAAACCCGAGUAGUCC